GGGGACAGCUGCCAUGAAAACAGGCUGAGGCAGGAAAGGUCUCUUAACUCCUGGCUGUCAUGGAUUUUGACCAGCUCCAACAUGUCUGAUACUAAGCUGUACAUUACUCACUGGCUUUGUUAAUCACAUUAUAUCCUUUUAUGAAUUUUGAUAGAUAAAUCUCAUAAAAAAUUAGGAGUUUCCAUAUAUUUUUAAAUAAAAUAACUUACUUGUCAUUUAACAACAAAUAUAAAGGGUUCAGUGGAAACACAGGAAGUUUUACUCAACUGUUUUGCACUCUAGACAUAAAGGCUAAUAGGCAUAAACUGUUUUUAGGGGAGAGGGAAGGGGACUAGAAGAGUUUUGGUCUGUCCUCAGGAUUUCCCCACCUGGAUCCAGUUGUUGUAUUGUUUCUGCCGAUACAGACAGCACUGUACACAGCUGUGCUGUUUGUGUUCUGCCUCACGGGCAACUGUGACUUGAAGGUUGCAAUUAGGCUUGAAUCAGGGCCUGUGGAGGGACUUCACCUCAGCUGGGUCCAAUCAGCACUCUGGCUCCCUUGGUAGGCAAAAAAAUGACUGGUUCAUGGGAGAGCUUGUUGUUCUGGACACCCAUUUAGGAUGAGACAUGCUCAAGACUCCACUGCUCACACUGACCAGGUCCCUGCUUGCUAUUAUUGUUUAUUAUUGCCAUUAUUAUUUAUUAUGCCAUACCCAGAUGUCACACAUGUCUCUUGCACUGUAGCUGCCAUAGCCACUUGCACUAGAGCUGCAGCUCCACUUGCUAAUCUUGCUGGGCUGUACUUGCAAGUCUGGCUGAAAAGUCACUCCAAGUGUAGAAGGUGUCUAUAGGGCCUCAGCAUUUGGCUGUUGUUCUGAGAGACAGGAGAGCUACACUGGGGAGGCAGUGAGCAGUGGGAGCUGGGACUGCCCUGUUCCUUGCCAGCUCCCCCAGACCUGCGGGAGCGCACAGGAGAGCAGAAGGAACAGAGGGGUGUGCAGAGCACCACAACAACCCCAGUGCAGUUUCAUCUUGUUGAGACAUCUCCUGGGAUAUCAGCAGCCUCGCUCCAGACUUUGCUGCUGAUCACCCACAGCCUUUUGGUUCCCCUGUCCGUGUUACAACGCAGCAGGAAGACUCAGAGGACACAUAGUGAGGCACCAAACCCUGUUGAGACCAGCAACUAAGGACUAAAAUGCCUUUUGUUUGGUGGAAGCUGUUCUGGGCCAUGGUGAGAGCUCCUAAUAAGAGAUGUCAGAUAGUCGUGCAGCUCAGGGCAACUAUUAGAUGUGACACUCCUGUGUGCUCUGACUUGUUUGCUUUAGAGGAAGACUUUUUAAUCACACUGGUAUUUAUACUGUUUUGCAAUGUUUUUAUUGCUAUUCUGAGUCUCCAUUCAGGGCAAAGUGUCUCUGUUUUGCUAGGCACAACUUAAUGCUGUUAUUAUCUUCUGAUUUUCUGGAAAGCUGAUUGAUUUUCUUCUGUAAUAAGGAUCUUGAGACACUGACAGUUGCUACUAAAGGAAGCAAACUGAAAACUUCCCUUUCUCUAAUGCUGAAAUACACAGGUUUUUUUCCUGGGGGAGGUGCUGGAGUGAGUGACUGCUGCUUGUUUCAGGCCUCCUUUGCCUGAGGCUCCUAUGCCUCAGGCAAAGGAGGAAAGAUCCUACAGAAACAUAUUAGAAACGUACACAGACAAAGUGGUAUUUGUGAAUGACUUGGUGUCUUCCAGGCAAAAUAGUUUAUAAGCAGGAUAGCAAUUAGACUAAUGAUUCAUUCUUUUUGUAAGUCUGUACUAUUGUGUUAUGUUUGAUCCAUAGUCAUGCCCCCAUGUCCCAUAAAGGUCUGCUGUCUUGGGUGAUGUGUAAACAUGGUGAGGUAUAUAACAGGCAAGAUUAGACUUAUUCCAGUCAGUUUUUGACUAAUAAAUAUUGUGAUGGUACAUUUUAAUGAUGUGAAUGGAGAAACUAUCCCAUGGAAGGAUAUUAAUUCAAAAUAGCCAAAGGGGAAAGGAACUUCUAACGAGAUAUACACAGCCCUGAAAUCAGGGUUUCCCGUCUUAAGUUGAUGGAUUUGUCACUUCCUCCCUUGGCUCUUUCCCAUAUGUAGAUGCCAAAUGAAACAAAAGUAAUAACUGCAGAUUAAAAUCUUCCUAGAGAAUUAGAAGAAUCAAAACUCUCCAUGCAGAGCAUUAGCAAAGUAUCUCCAGGAAAAUUUAAUUUCAGCAUAAAAUGUAAGAAUGUUUCUUACUAGAAAAAGAAAAUAUUUUAAAUAAGAAAAGGAAAGUAUGACAUGUAAAGUCAGCAGGAACUUCUGUAGAAACAGGACUGGGUUAUGGCUCAAUCAGGGAUCAUCUCAGAUGUUUCUUCCAGCUAAUUCUGGAAUAACUUCUUCUUCUGCUAAAACAAUGCAAAUUUGAGAUGAGAAACCAGGGGGAAGGAGAAUUCCUGAAAUGGAAUAAAUACUUGGUAGUUUCUAUACUUUGGAAUUAGAGGGAAUUCUCUACUAAAAAUGCUUUUAAAAGCAUCUUUUCAAAGGUAUUUUUCAAACCAAUAAGUAUCGGUUUGAAAACAAGUAUUGACUGCUUACAUUCUAUAGUUAAACAAUGGAAUGGAUCCAAACUUUGUGGCCAUAGAGCAGAAUGUCAGCUCACUCAUGGGGAAACUUCUCCUUGCAACAUCUUUCCUUAAUGUCAGCUUCCUUCCUCCAUGUCUGUAGCUGUUUCCUAUUCCAUAGGAGGUGUUGGUUAUGAGUAUGAUUCAGACCAGAAAUACCUUGGUUUCCCACAGUAGAAAUAAGUUUCAUGGAAAUGUCCCAGACACACUGGUGAUGAGUCUUUAAGCUACAUGGCAGCUACCAGUGCUCUGCUUGGCUUUCUCUCCAAGUUCUCUGCAUCCCUGUUUGCAUGUGACCUCCAACUCCUCCUGGCUUUCUGCUUCCUUUUGUUUCCUUUUGCUUUCUUUUGCUUUUUUCCUUAUGUUAUUCUUAGGGCUCCUUCUUUUUGCUCUCCAACAAGGCAGCUCCAUCUGGCUCCUUCUAGUGCUUAUUCUGUUUCAUGGUUUCCUCAUGUGUCCCUCAUACUGUGCCAAGUAGGAGCAUACAGGUACUGGGCAGUUCUCUUAUUGUUUGCAAUAAUAAGAAGGGGAGUAUUAUAUGGCCCUUUUAUAUGACAUUUCUUGAAGGAUUACAAAGCUCUUCCUGCUGUGGUGCUAAAAUGCUCUCAGUCCACCUCAGGCUGUACAUCCCUGCAUGCCUCUCCUCACAAACAGCUCCAUCCUGUAAUAAAGGAAGUACCUGGAAACUGUCCAUUUGUAGGAUAUAUAACACUUGAGUGCUUUUUGCUUCAGUAUUGCCUCCAUUUUGCUUCUACCUGCUCCUGCCUCUCUCUUUUCUCCACAGUAUUUUCCAUGCUUUGAGCCUGGCCUCACUUUCUCUGCCUGUUCAUUAAUUCUAUGUCUCUUGGUCAGGUCCUGGCUCUUGACAGUUUGUACAAACCAAGUGACUUCCUUCUCUCCAGCCCUCUGCUGAAGUUCAGGAUCUCUCCUAUGUCUCCUGCCUUCUCUCAUGCCACUCUUGGGCCUCUCAGCAGUCACAGAACAUCUUCUUCCAGUUCCAGCUAUCCAUAGCUGUGGAUUUAACAACUGUUUCUACAACCCAGUAACAGCAAUAAAUAUUUAUACUGGGUUAGCAUUUUAACUGGUACUCAGUUAUUACUGAAUUCUUGCACAAACUAAGAGGGAAGCAAUCUUUGGCCUGACAGCAAAAGCUGCUGAAGGUGGGUUCAGCAGUGCCUCAGGGCAGGUGUAUCAAAGGCUGUCUGUGCUGUGCUGAAGAACUCUGUCUUUUCAAGUGGGAACUUGAAAAUCUUUUGUGUACCAUAAAUUUACAGCCUGUAUUCUGCCCUCCUGUCACUGUGAUGCCAUACAAAUCCAAGCCAAAUAACUAAAGAAUUCAUACUGAAUACUAAGCACUGGUUAAAGAACAUCACAGAUUACAUGAACUCACAUAAACUACUAAGGUUACCAAAGAUUUAACUCAAAAAACAAUAUCUUACAGCUCUAAGACCGUAGCGUGAACUUCCCCAGGAAAUACCUCAUCACCUUCUGCCCUCACUAUAAACUCUGUUUCUUUGAUAUUACCUUCUUUUAAGUAUAUAAUAACAUGUGUGUGUUGUUAGAAAAUUCAAAUAAUUGUAUAUACUGGAAGAGAGAGUAAAAGAGAGCAAGCAUGUGAGAAGCUAAUCCCAGUGGGGAGCUCAGGAAGGAACUCAGAUGUGUUGAUGGAAUAUAUAAGUUUCAGUGGGGGAAGGAAGGAGUAGUUGAGUGGCUUGCCAGGAUGAAUAAAUGACUUUGUACUGAUGUGGGAAGGGACCCCACUCCAGGCUUUUUGCUUGACCAGUUUUUGCAAUUAAGAAAAGAAACCCCCCUAUCUUCCUACCAUAACAGGCACUAUUCAAAAUAAGACAUUAAUAACAAACACAAUGUCAUUUACCGCAGUUUAACCCUGAGGUGAAGGUAGAGAUAACAUUAUUCCUGCAGUAUUUCUUCCUGGUCUUCAGCUCUGGUCAAGUGCACAGCUCCUUAAUGGUGACAGUGGUAACUCCAGGGCUUGAUAAACUUGUUUUUAUCAGUGGAGUCAGAGCAUGUUAUUAGCAGAUGUAUAUGGAUUCUGUGUUUUGCUAUAGCACAUGUUUGUAUAGCCUUUUCUGACAGUUAAAGAUGUGCUAAGUUUCCUUGACAGAAAACAGACAUUUUAAUAAAAUUGCUGCCAUUUAACUAGAAACUCCUGGGCAAAGCUCUAUGGGAAACUGUUCCCAUGACCUUCGGGGGGGAAGAAAUGUUUGUAUUUUAGUAGGGCUCCAUUCUGUAAAAAAAAAGUCCUUACUCUGCAGUAUCCAGAUUUUUUUAACACAAUCCUAAUGAUGCAAGUCCUGAGGAGCUGCAUAUGCCAUUUGCAGAAACAUAUUGUUAAUUACACUAGGCUUUACUUUCAGAUAAAGAAACUUUGAACUAUUUCAGAACAAUGAGUUUGGAA